CAUGUCUUUUUGAUUAUAAUUUAAAGUCUGACCUGCCCUCUGAUAGUAAUAUAUUGAAUGGCCGCGAUAAUUUGAUCGUGCAAAGGUAGCAUAAUAAAUAGUUUUUUAAUUGAGAACUGGAAUGAAAGGUUGAACGAGAAAAAGACUGUCUCAGUUUAAUUUUAAUUAUAAUUUUAUUUUUAAGUAAAAAAGCUUAAAUAAUUUUAAAAGACGAGAAGACCCUAUAGAGUUUUAUAUUUUAUGGUUUAUUUUUUAGUUUAAGAAUUUUAUUUUGAAAUUAAUUAUAAAUUAUUUGAUUGGGGCGAUUGAAAAAUUUGAUAAACUUUUUUUAAAUAAAUAACAUUGAUAUAUGAUAAAUUUAUGAUCCAUAUUUAAUGAUUAAAAGAUUAAAUUACCUUAGGGAUAACAGCGUAAUUUUUUUUGAGAGUUCUUAUCGAAAAAAAAGUUUGCGACC
rnacentral:rRNA from 1 species